GGGUGAAUAAAGGGUUAAAAACCCUUAAUUUAAUUACCUGAUCCCAGCGCUGGGUCGCGGCUCUGCCUCCCCUGAUGUCCCACGAUGAGCAGGCGAUAAUGUGUAUGUACGGUGAAUCAAUGCGUUCAUAUGGGGAAAUAGCGGACACUGGAUGUCCUCUAGGUCCGUUAAAAUUCAGAAAGCGCCUCCAGUGGCAGUCUGGGAGACAGUCACUGGAGGCAGACUAAGUGGUGCAAUGUAAACAUUGCAGUUUAUCUGGAACUGCAAUGUUUAACCCCUUUAGACCAGAGGGCGUAC